rnacentral:rRNA from 1 species
GACGAACCGUGCAAACGUUGUUCGGAAUCACUGGGCUUAAAGGGCGCGUAGGCGGGUACGCAAGUCAGGGGUGAAAGCCCACGGCUCAACCGUGGAAGUGCCUUUGAUACUGCGUUUCUCGAGGGAGGUAGGGGCGUGCGGAACUUCCGGUGGAGCGGUGAAAUGCGUAGAUAUCGGAAGGAACACCGGUGGCGAAAGCGGCGCGCUGGACCUCUUCUGACGCUGAGGCGCGAAAGCCAGGGGAGCAAACGGG